ensembl:lncRNA
CCUGAGCCUGAGCGGACGGAGGGAGCGGGCCUGGGCCCCUCCCCGCCCCGGCACCUGGUAUUCUAUUCUGUCACCGCCCGGGGCCACACCUCUGCGGUCCCGCCUCGGGCCCUGAGCCUUGGGAACGGAGGAGCUGGCGGCACCGAGGCUCCCGAACCUCAGACCCGGGUCUGGCAGCCCCAGGCGCCUGGAUGAGGGGCGAUCGAAGCCUCGGCCCAGCUGCCACCGACCGGGCAGCUGUGUGACCCUGGAAGUCACUUAGCCUCUGCGAGCAUCUGUUUCCUUAUCUCUCAAACCCGGAUAAUAACCUCUAUUUUGUAGUGUUGGUAUGAGGAUUAGCUCAGGUGUUGAUAAAAUAAAAUGCCUGGAAUGUAGAGAGUAACACUUGUUAUUGUUGAUAGUAAUUGCAGGAACCCUGAAGAGUUUCUCCGCAGGAGCCACAGGGACCUUGAUAAAUAUUUAAUUACUUCAUUAUAGGAAAAAAAAAAGUAAGCAACAGGUGCAUUCUUGGCAAAUGCACGGAAGGACGGGUCCUAGCCACGGUGCAGCAGCGUGCUGGGCAGAUUUUUCUCUAUUCCUUACAACCUGUGAAGGGCUGUCUCUAUCACGCGAAAUGAAGUGCAUCCGUUUCACCUGGAGAGUUGGGGUGGAGAGCACCCUAAAGCAGUUCCUGGGCUGUCCACCUCCUCUUCCCUGGGAGGAGCGGGUCGCCUAGGAGCUGAUGACCGUCUGCUAACAGCGAUCCAGGCCCAGGCCCAGGAGAUUCACCUCCAUGAGAAGACCGUGCGGUAUAACCAACAGUGUGUAAAUUAGGUGACAAAAGGGCUUAAGAAGCCCAAAGAGGCGCAGUCACGCCUUCAGAGACAAAGCUGGACUCGGGCCUGGGCCUGUGAGACCCGAGUCUGAGCAGAACCCUUGAGCCUUGCUGCAGACCCAGUCCCUCUGCACUGCGGCCACUUCUGCCAGCCCCGGGCUCACUCCGGGGGCCCUGCCAGCGCGUGCCGGGGCUUGGGGCUGCAGGAGAAGCUUUUGUCUGGGGGUCCAAGAGUAUCAGCUUGGAUGCUGAGGCUGGUCUACACCUGACAGUGUCUUUUAUUUGCAACUAUCUUGGCUAAGAGAAGCAGGUCAUUCUCAGGCAUUCAAUUCAUUGCAUUCAGAUUCCACAUCUUCUCAGAACACAGAACACUUCUUUUUUUUUUUUUUUUCUUCUCCCCUCCAGUGAAUUUUCCUUGUCAAAGUCCUCACCCGCUUCCAAGGCAGUCUGAGUUUGUGGAUUUAGUUAUUUAUUUAAUUUUUUAAAAAAGAAAUCUUUGUUUUUUUGUUUUUUAAAGAAAUCUUUAUUUUAUUUUAUUUAUUUUUGGUAGUGGGGAUCAAACUCGGGACCUUGAGCUUGCGAGGGAGGCAGGCGGUGGAACCACUGAGCUAAAUCCCCGGCUUAAUUUGGGUUUUUUGAGGCAGGGUCUUGUUAUGUAGCCCAGGCUGGCCUCGAAUUUGUGGUGAUCCUCCUGCCUCAACCUCCUGAGUGCUGGAUUACAGGUGUGUGCCACCACACCCAGCCAGAAUUUGCUGAUUUAGGGUUUCAGAGCUGCUGUGAGUUGGGGACAAAGAAACUUCACAACUGGGAAAAUACUUCCUAGUUCAACCCCAGCUGCCUUCAAAUGUUCUGGGUUGGAAUGGGCACGAAGGUAGAUGGGGUAGAGGAUAAGCCAAUAUGUCCAGUGGGGUUCAGUCUAAGUCUUAUCCAUUUCAUCAGAUUUAUGGAAAAUUGUCAAUAAGACUAAAAUACAAAGCCACCCAAACUUCAGUGUGGUCCCAGUGUUAUUCCCCCCCCCCAAAUAAUGCAUAUCUAUAAACACAGUCUGAGAGAAGACUAUUAAAAUGGUUUUAUCUGGU